CAGUCGCCACGGGAAUACGUAGGGUGCAAGCGUUGUCCGGAAUUAUUGGGCGUAAAGAGCGUGUAGGCGGCUCGACAAGUCCGCUGUGAAAGUCCAGGGCUCAACCCUGGAAUGCCGGUGGAUACUGUCGAGCUAGAGUCCGGAAGGGGCGAGUGGAACUCCUGGUGUAGCGGUGAAAUGCGCAGAUAUCAGGAAGAACACCAAUGGCGAAGGCAGCUCGCUGGGACGUGACUGACGCUGAGACGCGAAAGCGUGGGGAGCGAACAGGAUUAGAUACCCCAGUAGUCCCUGUCUCUUAUAC
rnacentral:rRNA from 1 species